AGACGAACCGUCCAAACGUUAUUCGGAAUUGUUGGGCUUAAAGGGUGCGUAGGCGGUGCGGUAAGUCGGGUGUGAAAUCCCUCAGCUCAACUGAGGAACUGCGCUCGAUACUGCCGUGCUUGAGGAAGAUAGAGGUCAGCGGAACUGAUGGUGGAGCGGUGAAAUGCGUUGAUAUCAUCAGGAACACCAGUGGCGAAAGCGGCUGACUGGAUCUUUUCUGACGCUGAGGCACGAAAGCUAGGGGAGCGAACGGGAUUAGAUACCCCGGUAGUCCUAGCUGUAAACGAUGAGCACUUGAUCGAAGACUCCUCCAUAGGUUUUCGGUCGUAGCGAAAGUGUUAAGUGCUCCGCCUGGGGAGUAUGGUCGCAAGGCUGAA
rnacentral:rRNA from 1 species